GUUAUCAUUAUUAUUUAUGAUCAGUUAUCAUAAACAACACAUACAAAUUUAACAACAUUUUGCAAUUCAUUAUUUUAUUUAAUAAAAAAUAAAAUAUUUAUGACUUAUCGACUUAAAAUCAAAAACAAAGUUAUGUUACAACUUGUCCACCUUUGGAAAACACACGUUCACUCGGAACAGAUGUACCUUGUAUGCAAAAACGCCGUUUCAUUAUUUCAAACAAAGUUCUUGAAGAUACUUAUCUAUUUCGAUAAUCAUCAACGCUUUUGGAUCCUGAGACUGAACUAUAUCAGUAACUUCCAAAUCAAAGUCGUUCCAAAUUGAAUCUUCUUUAUUACUCGCUGUCGGUGGUAUCGGAUCUUUUGGUGUCUUGAAAAGCAAAAUGAUUUUUGAAUCCAUAUUUUUUAAACCGAGGAUCCAAAAAUGUUGCCUCAGCUAACAGCAUAUCUUUUUCUAAGUGACCAAAUCUCUUAUUUGUUUCUUCAGUUAAUUUAUGUAUAAAGUUGUCUAUGCAUGGAAUUGACUGAUGUUGGGUCAUUAGUUUGUUACAAAAGUUAAUUAAAGCCUGGAAUAUCGCAAGAUUUACUUAUUAUCUGCCAAUCAUCUGAAGUUAAACUGACAUCAUAAUUAAGAUCUGCUAAGGAAGACAGUAUUGGAGUUU